GAUCCUUAACCCACUGAGCAAGGCCAGGGAUCGAACCCGCAACCUCAUGGUUCCUCGUCGGAUUCGUUAACCACUGUGACGCCACAGGAACUCCAUGAAAUGAACUUCGAAUGGAUUGGAAGAGAAGAUUUGCAAAGAAGCCCCGUGACGACUGCUGGUGGUGAACUCUCCUGACAGUGAGGCCCUUCGUUCUUCAAUCCAGAUCAAGGCCCCCGACUUUGUUGAAACCUGUGUUUUGGCGGGGUCUUGGCACACCCAGUCCACGGUGGGUUGGCUGGACACACUGACUAAGCAGAAAAGGCAUUUAGUCAUCGCACUGGCUCCCUGUCAAAAGCGACUGGACUUCCUUCAGAGGGACUUUUGGGCCGGGCAGCUCUGAGAAAUCAGGAGGGAAAAUGUGGCAACGUGGGGGGUGGGGGGAGCGUGGCUCUCCCAUCAGACGGGACAGAGAUUCUGGGAAAGGGAGGCAUUUGCCACCCCUUCCCCACCCCCACCCCCGGUCAUGAAUGGGAACUGGUUUCAGUCCAAUCACUGACGUGAUGAAGUAUAACGUGGCCACGCAGGCCAGGGGGACCGUGGCUCUACCAAUCAGGACGCUGACUUGGUUUCGUGGGGAUAAUCAUUUUAUCUAUUGACUCAGGAAUCACGUAUUUUUCAUCUGGUAUGAAAAAGCAAUACAGGAGUUCCUGUCGUGGCUCGGCGGUAGCAAACCCGACUGGGAUCCAUGAGGACACGGGUUCGAUCCCUGGCCUUCUUCAGUGGGUUUAUGGAUCCAGCCUUGGCUUGAGCUGUGGUGUAGGCCACAGAGGCGGCUCAGAUGGUGUGGGCCGGUGGCUGCAGCUCUGAUUUGACCCCUAGUCCAAGCACUGCCAUAGGCCGAGGGUGCGGCCCUAAAAAGACAAAACAAAUCAAUAAAUAACAAGAAAUAAAUAAACACAACAGCUAAAUAAAUGAAUGAAAAGACUAAAAAGCCAAACAUAAAUAAAUAAAUAAAUAAAUAAAUAGCAAUGCACAUUCAGAUGAUGGGUAUUUAUGAAGCUAGGAAAACUCCUGACUUUUAAGGCCUCUCUUUUUCUUUUUUUCCACCUAACUCCCUGGACUAUAUUUAAUCCAGGAACCCAACGCCCCUUAAUUUAUGAACUUGACUUGCUGAAUGUGUGUCUCUCCCUGCGAGGUGUGGGGUCCUUCUGUACCAUCCGCUUCCAGCCUUGAGCCUGUCAGGGGGGUGGAUGAGGAAGAAACAUUUGUCGUCUCAGUGGCUGUGACCUCUGGAGCAACGUGGCUGAAUAGACCAGAGCAAGACGGCUCUUUCCACACUCUCUGUCCACGAGGACUGCUGUGAUUAAUAGCUCUGGGUGCUGGUCUCUAGCUGGACAGCUGAAUUCCAUUUGGCCUCAUGUCCACUGAUGGGCUGCCGCUCAUGGCUGGUUUCUGCUGCUCUGUUGGCUCAAGUUGCUUUCCUGCCAUCUUAAUUUUGCCGUCUGGCAUGAGGUGCCGGCUUGGUUUCAAGAGUUAACCACUUGUGCUGUGGUUGAAUCCAAAUGACCAGAUAACACAGCUGAAAAUGGGACAGGAAGGGGUCUUGGUGGGAACAGGGAGUUAAGAAGCAAUGGCAUUGGGACGACUUUAAAAUGCCAUGUCAUUUUUUUGUUGUUGUUCAAAUCCCAGGAAACAGCUGCAGGUGGAGAAGAGGAUGGAUUUCCAAAAUUCUCCAUGGAGGCAGGGGUUCAGACAGGGGCCAGCUGGGUGAUGAAAUCAACUCAGAGGUCAGAUGUGCGCUCAUGUUCAGUGAAGGCUUCAGAAAUUUCAGGGACUUUCAAAAUUGGCUCUGGAGAGAGGCAGAUUAGCUGACUGGGGAGGGGAGAUGCUCACGCGCGAUGGUUCUGGGAACCAGGGGCCUGCGCUUACGGGGAAGAGAGGUACCAGACGCGCCCCUGUCUCUGCGUGGGGGCACCCUAGAAAAGAAGGGUCUGUGUUUUUGCUCCAUUUGCAGAGAUGUAGGACAGUCAGAAUCGAAGCACAUGUCACCCUGCCGGGCGGCCUGAAGCCACAAAGUAUGAAAGCCCCACAAACAUGGUCUCUCUGGAAGGUGCCUUAUCUGCAUAGAGGUGGGUCAGUUCCCCACGGGUUGAGAAGUCCGGGUAAUCUGAAUAAGCACCACCCAGAAGUUCAGAUGUUUAUUUGGGUUUUAACGCUUCCCUCCAUUGUCCUGACUUCUUCCACCUCCCAAGUCGCCUGUAAAGGGAGCGGCGAGGCUCAUAUUCGAUAUGCCCCUGGACUCCCAGCCCUGUUUGUCUCCAGCUGGACCUGGAGAGCCAGCACAAUCGGCUCCCUCGCAGCGCUUGGCACGCCCUACGCGGGUCUAGCUGGAUGCAUACGGUGCCGAGGCAGCUGCAAAAAUGAAAAGUCAUAAGAAAGAUGGAUAGGCAAACUCUCCCUAUCCAGAGAAAGGAAAUAAAUAAACAUCUGGGUUCCAAAAGAGUGUAGGGGGGCGUCCGAACGAAUGUCACAUUAAUUCCGUAACGCGAAACAACACGCGCAAGAAUCCCAGAGAGCGUCGAGGAAGAGACGUCGCUGGAAAUGCAUGUGGAAAGCAUGUGAUACCAUUUCUCACUCAUCAAAACGGGGUCAACAGCUUAUAAAUCAAACAACAAGUGGUUAGUAUUCAUGACGAGGAACUUGAAUGCGCCUACGUUGCUGACGGGAGAGUAAAAUAAUUUAAGCACUUUGAAAAACAGUUGGGAAACCGAGCAUGUAUCUUACUUCAAUGAGCAUUUACCUAGCCUGCGAUCCAGCAAGAACAUUGCUAGGUAUUUUCCCAAGAGAGAUUUUUAAGUUUUGCCAUUUUACUUUCUUUCUUUUCUUUUUUUUUUAAGUAAAGUAGGGUCGAUUUACAAUAUUGUGCCAAUUUAUACUGUACAGCAAAAAGACACCGUCAUAUAUAUAUAUAUUUUCCUUUUCUUAUAUCAUCAUCCAUAGUAUUCUAUUCCAAGAGACUGGAUAUAAUUCCCUGUGCUAUAUGCAUCACACAGUAGUCCUAAACUAAAAACAAAAAAUUGGAGUUCCCAUUGUGGCUCAGUGGUAACGGACCCAACUAGUAUCCAUGAGGACUCAGGUUUGAUCCCUGGCCUCACUCAGUGGGUUAAGGAUCUGGCAUUGCCAUGAACUGUGGUAUAGGUCACCGAUGUGGCUCGGAUCCUGCGUUGCUGUGGCUGUGGUGUAGGCUGACAGCUAGUGCUCCGAUUUGACCCGUAGCUGGGAACUUCGAUAUGCUGCAGUGUGUGGCCCUAAAAAGACCAAAAAAAAAA
rnacentral:lncRNA from 1 species